UAGGGAAAGGAAUACUGCCUGCUUCCGCUAGAAUCUUCCUGAACAAGCGAGGAGACGCUGUCUCUGGGGCUGACAAAAAGGGGCAAGGAUAUGAUGGAAACGAUUGUCUUGUCCCCUGCGUCCGGCAAUUCUGAAGACAGCAUCAAAGAUGGGCCGUGAAGAGAAAGGACCCCGAGGGCGGCCCGACACGAGAGAGAAUCCGCUGGGACUAUUUGCGCGGCAGGGGCUUGAGCUGAGUGAGGCUGCAGAGGCGGGGCCCAAGCCGAAGGGCCGGACCCAAAUUAAGUCCCAGCCACUGGGCUGGAGGCGGGGCCAGUGUGGAGAUUGACAGGGGGCCGUCCUGGGAAAGCGCCCACGUGGCGCAGAAUUAGAGGCGGAGCCUACACGACCCUGUACCUUUGCUCCUAAGCAUGAAGAUGGGCUUCUGACCAAGUCCUGCUAGAGGACACUGAAAGGGCAAGCCUUGGGCUUUAACCAGGCAAUGUUCUCAUCCAUAUGAGCAAGGGCUUCAUGUUACUGGCCGUGGCCCUGUGCUGAGUCCUCCUCCCGCCCAUGGCCCUCUCCUCCUGGCCAGUGGUCCUCCGCCUGAACAUGGCCGACUUUGUCUUCAGUUUCCUCUGCCUCGGCAUUGGGCUCCUGAUUUCUCUUCAGCCUGACGCUCUUUUCAGUUAACGGCAAGGCGGUGCACCCAAGUCCGGUGGUGUCCUACCUGGUGACCUCCUACCUGUGCUGGGACGCCAGCGACUUGAUGCUGCACUCCGGGCGCAGCGAGGCGGACAUCCAAACAGCGGAACUCAGACGCUGACUCCGAGCGCACCCCGGGCCUUCCCAUUUCAUACACCCUCGAGGAUGAGACCCAAGCACCUCCAAGGAAUAGCACCCGAGGUCUUCAGGACACCGACCGGUAGCCAUGGCCAGAUGCCCGGCCAACCCCUUCAGCGUGGCCACGCCCUGGAUAUUCGACCUCCCCUGAGGCCCCACCCCCUGAUAUCAGGCCACGCCCUCCGAGGGGACCGGUGGCAAACUCCAGCCCUCGCUCUAGGGCCCGCCCUUUGCGGCUUUGUCCCUGCCCACUGGGUCCUCACAGUACCUCCACCCCAGAGGCCCAGCAUCCCCUCCCGUUCUGCAGACACUUGUCCAGCGUCCCGCUGAGCUCGGCAGUGUGGCUAGUUUGUGUGGCCCUGCCCCUGGUGCCCAGCCAGGGUGGUCUGCAUGGAACUUCUUUCCCGGAGUUCCGGCCUCAGCUCCGAUGUCCACCCUUGUCCCCAGGUGGACACAGCACCGCCCAGCAUUUGGUGCAACUCCACCCUUCUGCAGAACGGGCCCCUCCCUGGGAAGGCAUGGCUUGCAAUAACAUCCCUCUGUACCUUUUCUGGCUUCCCCGCCACAAUAAAACCUCUCAGCCUCAGACCUUCCAUUGCCCCCCACCUCCCCACCAGGGCAGGGUCCAUCCUAGUGUGAGUGAACUGUUCUGGCGUCCCUGACUUGCCCUUUGGGA
rnacentral:lncRNA from 10 species